rnacentral:rRNA from 1 species
GCCAGCAGCCAUAUCACCCUGCAGCCCAAGACUGGUUGCCUACUGAAGCUAAGCAGGCUUGAGCCUGGUCAGUACCUGGAUGGGAGACCUCCUGGGAAAACUAGGUUGCUGUUGGAA